rnacentral:rRNA from 1 species
AACCUGGAGACAGGUGCUGCAUGGCUGUCGUCAGCUCGUGUCGUGAGAUGUUGGGUUAAGUCCCGCAACGAGCGCAACCCUUGUCAUUAGUUGCUACAUUCAGUUGGGCACUCUAAUGAGACUGCCGGUGACAAACCGGAGGAAGGUGGGGAUGACGUCAAGUCCUCAUGGCCCUUAUAGGUGGGGCUACACACGUCAUACAAUGGCUGGUACAAAGGGUUGCCAACCCGCGAGGGGGAGCCAAUCCCAUAAAGCCAGUCGUAGUCCGGAUCGUAGUCUGCAACUCGACUACGUGAAGUCGGAAUCGCUAGUAAUCGUGGAUCAGAAUGUCACGGUGAAUACGUUCCCGGGUCUU